rnacentral:piRNA from 1 species
UCCUUUUUGAACUUGGCUUGAACGCA